AACUGCAUUACAAGCUUCAAUCAUAUCAACUACAGUAGCAUUUCAAGGAGAUGAGUGCUCAUUAACGCUUGCUGGUGGCUCCUUGGCAUGCAGUGUGGAGGUGGCAAGAGAGCAUGAGGUUUAGCGUGGCCCUAAAAGGAAAUUUAAGAAUGCAACAUUUUGAAGAAAAAUCACACUUUGUAUAUUGAAAUUCAUGACCAGGGCUACUGUAAGACUGUACUACAUGAACUCUCAAAAGAUUAACAAGCAUUUAAAUCAAAGCUGAC
rnacentral:lncRNA from 1 species